AUGGCUCAGAGCGAACGCUGGCGGCAGGCCUAACACAUGCAAGUCGAACGGAUCCUUCGGGAUUAGUGGCGGACGGGUGAGUAACACGUGGGAACGUGCCUUUUGGUUCGGAACAACUCAGGGAAACUUGAGCUAAUACCGAAUGUGCCCUUCGGGGGAAAGAUUUAUCGCCAUUAGAGCGGCCCGCGUCUGAUUAGCUAGUUGGUGAGGUAAAGGCUCACCAAGGCUACGAUCAGUAGCUGGUCUGAGAGGAUGAUCAGCCACAUUGGGACUGAGACACGGCCCAAACUCCUACGGGAGGCAGCAGUGGGGAAUCUUGCGCAAUGGGCGAAAGCCUGACGCAGCCAUGCCGCGUGAAUGAUGAAGGUCUUAGGAUUGUAAAAUUCUUUCACCGGGGACGAUAAUGACGGUACCCGGAGAAGAAGCCCCGGCUAACUUCGUG
rnacentral:rRNA from 1 species